rnacentral:misc_RNA from 1 species
UUGAAUUUUACUGAAGAGUUUGGUUGUAGCUGGCCCAUUCAUUUAGGCAUGUGCACACCUUCCUCUUUCAUCCCACACACACCUGUGAACCUGUGAGACAGAGAUGGGGAAUUUACUUGCUGCUUUUUGGAAUACAAAGGCAAUAGGUUAUUGGACCCCCCCUCUGUCUACUCAAUUAAUAUAAACUCAAUUUAUUUUAAAACGAAUGUAAUGGAUGUAACACAUCUCAUAC